rnacentral:rRNA from 1 species
UACGUAGGGGGGCAAGCGUUUGUCCGGAAUCAUUGGGCGUAAAGAGCGUGUAGGCGGCUCGAUAAGUCUGCUGUGAAAGUCCAGGGCUCAACCCUGGAAGGCCGGUGGAAACUGUCGGGCUAGAGUCCGGAAGAGGCGAGUGGAAUUCCCAGUGUAGCGGUGAAAUGCGCAGAUAUCGGGAGGAACACCAAUGGCGAAGGCAGCUCGCUGGGACGGUACUGACGCUGAGACGCGAAAGCGUGGGGAGCAAACAGG